rnacentral:sRNA from 2 species
UCCUGCCGCCCGUCUCGUCCCUCCACGUCAGUGCGGCAGGAGCGGGGGACCCAACUUCCGGGCGCGCAAGCGUCCUCGGGGUGAAGCCGGGGUCCUUCUCGAAGGGCCCGGCCGGGUGUUCUCCCACCCGAAUCCGACAGCUCACCUCGUAGGCGGCAGGAGAGGUACU